rnacentral:lncRNA from 1 species
CUCUAAUACAUUUAGAGUGAUAGCCUUAUAUAAUUUAACACCCUGACCAGGGGUUCUAUCCUGAUGGGAAGAUACAAGAGAAAGACAUCCAUAUGACUUGAAAUCAAGUAUUGAGCUUAUGUUUGUUAAAUUUGUAGAUGCUGUUAAAUCAAGCAGGAUGAAGAGGGGGUUGUUAAUGGAGUGUCAGAAAAGGAAUUAAAAAUGAAGAUGAUAAAUGCAAUGUCACAUCCUCAAGAGAAGGAAACAUGGGUAAGCUGUGGGA